UUGUCGAAGAAGUAAGCUCUGGACGAGAAGACGUGGCCAGGGAGGCCGGAGCUGCUCUGCAGGUGACGAAGACAGACGACAAGAUGGCGCGCCAGGACGACCAGGUUGUAACAGGCCCUGGACGCGUACAGCAGGAUGACGAUGGCUCCUAUAACAGUCACCUGGCACACCGACGUCCCCUGCACAACGUCAGAGCAGCAGCCCGAGUUUAAGACGAGUUGGAAGCAGAUGCUGGUCUGCAUGCAGACAUGCUGGUCUGCAGAUGCAUGCAUGGCGUUAACUUCGUCUGCCGGGUGAUGCAGCAGUUCUGCAGGAAACGCCGCUGGGAUCGCCAUCUUAAUGAAGCGACUCAACCUGACCAACCUGGACCAAAACCAUCACUGAAGACCUUUAAUAAUUACAUUCAGGCAUUCAAGUGUAGCUCCAUUUCUACGCAGUAUCGUCACAUGCAACUCAAACGUUUUUCUGCAGCAGCACAUAAUGCUAAUAAACACCCACAAAGGAGGAAUUGGAUUAAAAGGAUGCAAGGAGAAAUUAACCAUUUGCCUUCUGUGAUGUCAUCAGAUGGAUGUGUGAAUGGAAACAUUUUUGUUUUUUGAAAAGAUUUUAUCCUAAUUAAAUAACGAAUAACAACAAAAAAGAACAAGUAGAAAAACCAACCAUGGCAUCUUGUUCUACAUCUAAACUGA